UGUUCAGUCUGCACACACAAGGCUAAAGAAGAAGCUCUUCUAAAGGUGGAACAGCAACACCAGAAGCUUCUCAUCGACAAUUACAGCACAGAGAGCGGAGAGGGAGAUAAAGCCAGGGGAGACCAUGCAUUUCGGGAAGAUAUUAGGAGAAUAGGCUGUGAGACGAGUCACCUCCCAAUUCAAAGGGACAUGAAGCUUCAGCAACACACCACAGCGGGAAGCGUGUGGCUUGGCACAACUUUUGAAGUCUCACUUGGACACACGGCAA